rfam:Oryctolagus cuniculus chromosome 8, whole genome shotgun sequence.
CCAAAGGCCCUUUUUAGGGCCCCCAGCACGUCAAGAAAAGAGCUG